GCCUUCGUGGUGUAACGGUUAGCACACUCGACGCGUAUUCGAGAGGUCCAGGUUCGAGUCCGCGAUGAGGGCA
rfam:Stegodyphus mimosarum contig85783, whole genome shotgun sequence.